rnacentral:rRNA from 1 species
UACGGAGGGUGCAAGCAUUGAUCGGAAUUACUGGGCGUAAAGGGCGCGUAGGCGGUCGAACCAGUCAGAUGUGAAAUUCCGGGGCUCAACCCCGGAGCUGCAUUUGAAACUAGUCGACUCGAGUUCAGUUAGGGAAAACGGAAUUCCACGUGUAGCGGUGAAAUGCGUAGAUAUGUGGAAGAACACCGGUGGUGAAGACGGUUUUCUGGGCUGAUACUGACGCUGAGGCGCGAAAGCUAGGGGAGCAAACAGG